rnacentral:rRNA from 1 species
AACAGGUCUGUGAUGCCCUUAGAUGUCCUGGGCUGCACGCGCGCUACAAUGAAAGUAUCAACGUGUAUUUCCUAGACCGAGAGGUCCGGGUAAACCGCUGAACCACUUUCAUGCUUGGGAUUGUGAACUGAAACUGUUCACAUGAACUUGGAAUUCCCAGUAAGUGUGAGUCAUUAACUCGCAUUGAUUACGUCCCUGCCCUUUGUACACACCGCCCGUCGCUCCUAC